AUAGAACACUGUUAUUUGCAACAUCUACAAUUAAUGAGUAUAAUUUACCAAAUUUUCCCCCAAACUGUAGAUGUAAUUAAGUGGAUUUUUGUUCUGCGUACCCAUACCUAGACCAUAAGUGUCUCAGUUUUUCCUCAUGAUCUCAGUUAUCUUUCCUGACAUGAACUUCUAUUUUUCCUUCAUGUCUCAAACAGUCUAACACAGUACCCUUAUCUUCCUGGAGGAGGAGCCUACACAAGAGGGAGAACAAUGCCAAGCUGAUUUUGAACAUCUUGUGUUGAUGGCCCAGUUGUGCACAUUGAUGCCAUUUUUCACAAAAGCUUGUGUAAGCUUUGAGACUUGGAAAUUUCUAAACCCCUGUCAAGAGAAAGAAAACUGAAGGAAUGCCAGCAUGCCACUUCGUAGGGCUAUCUCAAAGGAAGCUUGACUGGAAGAAGAGAAA